rnacentral:lncRNA from 1 species
AUCUUAUCUUGAUAGAUGACUUUACCCCGUCAGAUAUUUAUUCUAGUAUUUGGAGCACGGAAUAUAGAAAAUAAAUAGAUUCUAAAGUGUUAGAACUAUGAUUCAUACUUAAUAUUUAUAUUUAGACCUCGCAACCAGACGAAAAAAAUGAAAGACUUAGAAGAAUUCAUUUAGAAAACGAAAUGGAAUUUUAUUCUUUAAAACUGCCGCCGCUUAUCCAUUUCUUUGUAUUUUUUUUCUUCAUUAUAUCUAUUUCUUGAAAUUGAAUAAGUGAUGAUCCAACAGUUCUUACUCAGGGAAUUCUUGGACUUCGAUUAAAGGUUUUUUUUUGGAAAUCAUCGUGGUUCUGGUAUGAAUCUCAGGUUUUUAAUUGAUUCUUAUAGGGUCUUAACAAGAAAAUUCUUAUCAAUAAUAAUAAUAUCAGGGAAUUCUUGGACUUCGAUUAAAGGUUUUUUUUUGGAAAUCAUCGUGGUUCUGGUAUGAAUCUCAGGUUUUUAAUUGAUUCUUAUAGGGUCUUAACAAGAAAAUUCUUAUCAAUAAUAAUAAUUAUAAAAAAAACAGCAGUAAAAUCUUAUUACAGACACAAUACAAAAAAAAUGAAGUAAAUAAUAGAAGAUUCACGAGGCUGGUAAGGAUCAAGAGAAAAGACGAGUGAGCCGACUUGAAAUUUUGGCAUUAUAAACACUAAGAAUAUUUUUUGGAUUUCUAUUUUUUUUUAUCUUCAAAAAAUACUGGAAUCAUAGGAUUAAGUUAAGAAGUGUAAAACUUUCUAUUACACAUAUCU